UAUCGAUGAUGAAAGAUGAAAGGCUUGUUUCUCAUGAACAUUCGCAGUGGCCGCCUGAUUGAACUUUCGCCUUCGCCAGGCUUGAGAGUUCAUGUUGCUCUUUCCUUCCUUCCUUGGAUGUCUGAGAUCCUCCUCUUUUUUUCUUUUCUUUUUUUUAUUUUUAUUUGUUUUGAUGUCUAUAAGAAACUGGUGAUGAUAAUGUUAAGGCUUGUUUCUCAGAAACAUUCGCAGUGGCCGACUAAGAGCUUUCGCCUUCGCCAGGCUCGAGAGCUUGUGCUGUCUUGCUCCUUCCUUCCUUGGAUGUCUGAAGUUUCAAUAUUAUACAUAAAUUAUUUAUUUAUUUAUUUAUUUAUGGAGAUUUAGUGUGGGUUUCUCAAUGAUGAUUUCAAUAGAUGACGAGUCUGAUGUAAUAUCCAUUCCAUUCAAUUAUGAAGACGAAUCGAGGCAUUUGUCUGAGAGCC
rnacentral:lncRNA from 1 species